AUUUUUAAAAGAUCACUGAAUGAUGAAAGCAAGAAAGCUGGAGAAUGAAGAGGUCUGUUAGGCAGUUUGCUACCUUCAACUUGCCUGUGGAGACACUGGCAGUCAUUUAUUCUUUCAGAGAAUACUCAUUCUCUAGGCAGCAGACAAAAGACUUGAAGACAUGCACAGCUGAAGGAAAUGAAAAGGCGACAAGGCUAAGAGAACAAAGAUGAGCAUUGUCACGGUCCAGAGGCUGGUGGUGGAGGAAGCAUUCUCUAUGCUGGUGCCUCUAUUGGAACUUUCAGGAAAUGAACAUAGCCAUCCAAGAUGUUAUGGGAGAUACAAGGUAGAGGACAACAUGAACCCUGUUCUCAGGGUGUUCGAAGUCUACCAGGAAAGAGAUGCCACUGCACAUGUAAGCAUAAUAAAAGCUAAAAGUAGAUGUGCCAGAAACUGGAUCAAAAUAAAAGGCUGUGAGAAGAAGAAAGGCAUUCCUUCUAGCUUUGGUCAGAUUUGGUCCACAAUCAAAUCAAAUUCUUAUUAAGUUCAUAUUUGCUUAAUGACUAACUAAACUGCUGCAUAAAAUAAUCCUCCCCCAUGGGAGAUCUUACAGACAGACCCUAAUUGCCCUAGCUAAGCUUAGAAUGUAGCUCUGAAAAGAAUGACGAAAGAGCUUAAACAGGCAAGCAAGAAAUUUUGAAGUAUCUGGUCUAUAAGAGUAAAAGACUGACGCCAAAGCCUGGGGGUACCCAGCUGGGGUCAAUCUAUAUU
rnacentral:lncRNA from 1 species